rnacentral:rRNA from 1 species
GAUGAACGCUGGCGGCGUGCCUAAUACAUGCAAGUCGAGCGAACAGAUAAGGAGCUUGCUCCUUUGACGUUAGCGGCGGACGGGUGAGUAACACGUGGGUAACCUACCUAUAAGACUGGGAUAACUUCGGGAAACCGGAGCUAAUACCGGAUAACAUUUGGAACCGCAUGGUUCUAAAGUGAAAGAUGGUUUUGCUAUCACUUAUAGAUGGACCCGCGCCGUAUUAGCUAGUUGGUAAGGUAACGGCUUACCAAGGCGACGAUACGUAGCCGACCUGAGAGGGUGAUCGGCCACACUGGAACUGAGACACGGUCCAGACUCCUACGGGAGGCAGCAGUAGGGAAUCUUCCGCAAUGGGCGAAAGCCUGACGGAGCAACGCCGCGUGAGUGAUGAAGGGUUUCGGCUCGUAAAACUCUGUUAUUAGGGUAGAACAAAUGUGUAAGUAACUGUGCACGUCUUGACGGUACCUAAUCAGAAAGCCACGGCUAACUACGUG